GGGCAGGCUUCAUACAUGCAAGUCGAGGGGCAGCAUAAAUUACUUGUAAUUUGAUGGCGACGGAGUGCGUAACGCGUAUGCAACUUACCUUUUACUAGAGAAUAGCCAAAGAGAAAUUUUGAUUAAUGCUCUAUACACUUAUUAAUUCUCAUGAAUCUAUAAGAAAAGCUCCGGCGGUAAAAGAUGGGCAUGCGUCCUAUUAGCUUGUAGGUGAGGUAACGGCUCACCUAAGCUCCGAUAGGUAGGGGUCCUGAGAGGGAGAUCCCCCACACUGGUACUGGACCGGACCGACUUCUACGGAGGCGCAGUCGGAAUUUGGCCAAUGGAGCACUCUGAUCAUCCAUUCGCGUGAGGAAGACGCCUUAUGGUUGUCACUUCUUUAUACAGGAAGAACCCUUUC
rnacentral:rRNA from 1 species